ACCUUUGUUGCUUUGGCGGGCCGUCAGGCCUCGGUCAGGCUACCGGCUUCAGCUGGUAAGCGCCCGCCAGAGGACCCCAAACUCUGAAUAUUAGUGUCGUCUGAGUACUAUAUAAUAGUUAAAACUUUCAACAACGGAUCUCUUGGUUCUGGCAUCGAUGAAGAACGCAGCGAAAUGCGAUAAGUAAUGUGAAUUGCAGAAUUCAGUGAAUCAUCGAAUCUUUGAACGCACAUUGCGCCCCUUGGUAUUCCGGGGGGCAUGCCUGUUCGAGCGUCAUUACAACCCUCAAGCCUGGCUUGGUAUUGGGCUUCGCCGUUUUGGCGGGCCUUAAAAUCAGUAACAGUGUCGUUGGGGCCCUGAGCGUAGUACAUAUCGUCGCUAUAGGGAUUUCCACGGCCAUUAACCCUCACUUUCUAAGUUUGACCUCGGAUCAGGUAGGGAUACCCGCUGAACUUAAGCAUAUCAAUAAGCGGAGGAA
rnacentral:rRNA from 1 species